rnacentral:rRNA from 1 species
GAUAAACGCUAGCGGCAGGCUUAACACAUGCAAGUCGAGGGGCAGCAUAGAUUGUAGCAAUACAAUUGGUGGCGACCGGCGCACGGGUGCGUAACGCGUAUGCAACCCACCCGUCACAGGGGGAUAAUCCGGAGAAAUCUGGUCUAAUACCCCAUAACAUAUGGAUCGGCAUCGGUUCAUGUUGAAAUUUUCGGAGGUGACGGAUGGGCAUGCGUAGCAUUAGCUUGUUGGUGAGGUAACGGCUCACCAAGGCGACGAUGCUUAGGGGGACUGAGAGGUUUUCCCCCCACACUGGUACUGAGAAACGGACCAGACUCGUACGGGAGGCAGCAGUGAGGAAUAUUGGUCAAUGGGCGCAAGCCUGAACCAGCCAUGCCGCGUGCAGGAUGACGGCUCUAUGAGUUGUAAACUGCUUUUGUACGAGGGUAAAGUGGGUUACGUGUAACCUUUUGAAAGUAUCGUACGAAUAAGGAUCGGCUAACUCCGUGCCAGCCGCCGCCGUAA